rnacentral:rRNA from 1 species
CUCGUACCGAGAUCCGACACAGGUGCUCAGGCGGAGAAAGCCAAGGCCUGUCGGGAUCAACCGACGUUAGGGAAUUCGGCAAAUUAGUCCCGUAAGUUCGCGAUAAGGGAUGCCUGCUCCUGACCGAGCAGGUCGCAGUGACUCGGACGCUCCAACUGUCUAGUAACAACAUAGGUGACCGCAAAUCCGCAAGGACUCGUACGGUCACUGAAUCCUGCCCAGUGCGGGUAUCUGAACACCUCGUACAAGAGGACGAAGGACCCGUCAACGGCGGGGGUAACUAUGACCCUCUUAAGGUAGCGUAGUACCUUGCCGCUUCAGUAGCGGCUUGCAUGAAUGGAUCAAUGAGAGCGUCGCUGUCCCAACGUUGGGCCCGGUGAACUGUACGUUCCAGUGCGGAGUCUGGAGUCCCCCAAGGGGAAGCGAAGACCCUAUAGAGCUUUACUGCAGGCUGUCGCUGAGACGUGGUCUCCGAUGUGCAGCAUAGGUAGGAGACGUUACGCAGGCACCCGCGCCAGCGGGCCGCCGAGUCAUCAUUGAAAUACUACCCGUCGGCGACUGCGACUCUCACUCCGGGAGGAGGACACCGGUAGCCGGGCAGUUUGACUGGGGCGGUACGCGCUCGAAAAGAUAUCGAGCGCGCCCAAAGAUUUCCUCACGCGGGUCGGAAACCCGUGGAAGAGCGCAAGAGCACACGGAAGUCUGACAGUGACAUUCCCAACGAGUGUCGCUGACGCGAAAGCGUGGUCUAGCGAACCUACGAGGUUCCUCAAUGGGACCCGUAGAUGACAGAAAAGCUACCUUAGGGAUAACAGAGUCGUCACCGGCAAGAGCACAUAUCGACCCGGUGGCUUGCUACCUCGAUGUCGGUUCCCUCCAUCCUGCCUGUGCAGAAGCAGGCAAGGGUGAGGUUGUUCGCCUAUUAAAGGAGGUCGUGAGCUGGGUUUAGACCGUCGUGAGACAGGUCGGCUGCUAUCUAUUGGGGGUGUCAAGGUACCUGACGUGAACGAUCGUAUAGUACGAGAGGAACUACGAUUGGUCGCCGCUGGUGUACCGGUUGUCCGAGAGGGCAGUUGCCGGGCAGCUACGCGACACGGGGUAAGAGCUGAACGCAUCUAAGCUCGAAACCCACAUGAAAAAGAGGUACCACCGAGGUCACUCGUAGAAGACGAGUUCGAUAGACUCGGGGUGUACGCGCCGAGGCAACGAGGCGUUCAGCCCGCGAGCACUAACAGACCGAGCCAUACUCAUACUGCAUCGGACCCACCAC